rnacentral:rRNA from 1 species
AGAGUUUGAUCAUGGCUCAGAGCGAACGCUGGCGGCAGGCCUAACACAUGCAAGUCGAGCGCCCCGCAAGGGGAGCGGCAGACGGGAGAGUAACACGUGGGAACGUACCCUUCAGUACGGAACAACCAAGGGAAACUUUGGCUAAUACCGUAUACGUCCGUAAGGAGAAAGAUUUAUCGCUGAAGGAUCGGCCCGCGUCUGAUUAGCUAGUUGGUGAGGUAACGGCUCACCAAGGCGACGAUCAGUAGCUGGUCUGAGAGGAUGAUCAGCCUCACUGGGACUGAGACACGGCCCAGACUCCUACGGGAGGCAGCAGUGGGGAAUAUUGGACAAUGGGCGCAAGCCUGAUCCAGCCAUGCCGCGUGGGUGAUGAAGGCCCUAGGGUUGUAAAGCCCUUUCGGCGGGGAAGAUAAUGACGGUACCCGAGAAUA